GUAAUGGUUUCGACGGGGAUUAUGAAGCUGGAGAAGCGAGUCGUAUGCAAUGCGUUAAAUGGCAAACUUAAAAUUAAACGCUAACGAAAAUUUAGCUUACGCUGCCUAAUUUCGGCAGUAGUCUGACCUAGGGCACUCACACCUUAGGAUCCAGGCUUCAUCUAUGUGAGAAACGACACAUACAAAGCUUUGCGUAUGUGGGCGUAUUAUGAAGCUACCAAAGUCGUUCGGUUGUUUGUUCCUGAAUGAUGGAGGGAAGUUUUAAGAAUAAACUACACUCGUAGAAGUACAGGGGAUUGGUUUUCGGACACGGGUUCGACUCCCGUCUAGUCCAC
rnacentral:tmRNA from 1 species